CAAAGACAAAGACUGUUGCAAUGGAGGUGCGAUACCAUAAAUCCUGUUACCGAGAUUACACCAGGUUCCUAACCUAGUCAACAGCAACAGAAACUGCAACGAGGGACGAAGAAAUACAACCCUGUGCUGAGAGCUACAAACUCUUAAGAACAAGUGGUCCGUCAAAGGAUUAUCGUUGACAAAGAAGUGCUCAGAAUGGACAAGCUAACAAGGUUGUUCGUGAAUACCUUGAAGAACCAUGAGAAUCUUGAUGAUUCAGACUACAGGUAGCUUUUGCUGAAAAGAAGAUUGAAGCGUGAUUUCCCCCAGUUGGUUUUUCACACCCCUUUCCAGCGCACCAUGUCUGAAAUGUUUUUUUUUUUUUUUUUUUUUUUUUUUUU